rnacentral:rRNA from 1 species
AUUGAACGCUGGCGGCAGGCCUAACACAUGCAAGUCGAGCGAGCGGCGGACGGGUGAGUAAUGUCUGGGAAACUGCCUGAUGGAGGGGGGGAACUACUGGAAACGGGAGCUAAUACCGCAUAACAUCCGAUAUGCCCAGAUGGGAUUGGAUAGUAGGUGGGGUAAUGGCGCACCUAGGGGACGAGCCCUAGCUGGUCUGGGAGGAUGACCAGCCACACUGGAACUGAGACACGGUCCAGACGCCUACGGUAGGCAGCAUGGGGGAAUAUUGAACAAUGGGCGCAAGCCUGAUGCAUCCAUGCCGCGUGUGUGAAGAAGGCCGUCGGGUUGUAAAGCACUUUCAGCGGGGAGGCGUUACCCGCAGAAGAAGCACCGGCUAACUCCGUGCCAGCAGCCGCGGUAAUAC